CACUCAACCAGGCUGCUCAGAAAGCCGGAGGGGUUAGGGUGAAUGCCCCGGCUUCUCUUAUGGACUAACUGUAAAGAAACGGCCCGCAGCAUCAACAGCUCAAGAGUGAUUGCUCGAGCCUCUAGUUCUCUCAAGAACUAACUCUCCCUCCCCUCCUUUCUUCUUAUGUCUUACUCUCCAGAAACACAAGCCAAACACACUUAAAGAUCAGCCGCCAAGAAGGACAAGGUUCUUUUUUUCUUUGUAGCUAAGUACAGAAUGACAUCCAGGCAAUUCCACUUCCAUCACCAAGAGGCCCUGUAAAGAGAAAGGGGCUGUUUUCCUGCUCUUGACUUUCCUUCCCACUGAAGUGCCUGGAAGCAGGUGUGUGGAUUGGGAGACAGGGUGGCCCAGAAGUGCUAGUACCGUGGACUCUGCAGGAGGACUCUGCAGUGAGGGGAGGGCUGCUCCUGAUUCAUCAGAGCAUCCCUCAUUGGCUUGUGCGUCAUCAGAUCUGCUUCCUAAGCCCUUCGUCUUCCUUGCUCGACCCCAGGGAAGCCAGGUACCAGUUAUCUCUUAAGGAGAAUGAGCCACCAUGUCACACGAAGCCACACAAGCUCUCGGUGCUGCUCUGCUGGAAGCAGGUCCCCCAGCCUCAGCCUCGAUGCCCAGAGGGCUCCGGACUGACGACCAGCAGCCAUGCCAGUCACCCCCGGCACAGGGCCA
rnacentral:lncRNA from 1 species